AUACUUUUACUUGCCAGGGGAGAUGCCAUGAUCACGAAGGUAGUUUCCCCAGAGCGAGGCUCACCCGUUGCACUCUGGGUGUGCUGACCCCUGAAACUUCCCCAAAUGUGGGAAACUCGAUUGCAUAAUUUGUGGUAGUUGAAGACUGUGUUGGCGCUCUCCCCUG